rnacentral:rRNA from 1 species
AGUCACUGACAUUAGAUACCCGGGUAGUCCCAGCCGUAAACAAUGUGCGUUAGGUGUGUCGGUAACCACGUGUUACUGAUGCGCCGAAGAGAAAUCGUGAAACGCACCACCUGGGAAGUACGGUCGCAAGGCUGAGACUUAAAGGAAUUGGCGGGGGAGCACCACAACGCGUGGAGCCUGCGGUUUAAUUGGAUUCAACGCCGGAAAUCUUACCGGGACCGACAGCAACAUGAAGGCCAGGCUGAAGACUUUGCCGGAUUAGCUG